CACCUUCAUGGACAACAACCAGCAGCCCCGGUGACGCAGUGGUAGUGGCGGCAACAGAACCAAGGAGGACAUUCACUCUUUCCCCCUUUUCUGUCCCGACGCCACCAACCCGCGCCCUUCCGGGUCUGCUGGUUCGAAUCGCACCCAGGGCGAGCCAGGGACCGACCUGGUCCUAGGCCCGCCCUUGGGGUGUGUUUCGAGAAAACCCCGCCGGCAGGCCCAGCACGAAAGCUGUGGCGAGCAGGCAGGGGAGAGAUGUAGCACUUCUCGGCCCUGGCCCCUGAGCACUUCAUGGGUGAGGGGGCUGAGGGGUGUGAACUCUUUUUUUAUUUGUUUACUUGAUUAGAUUUACUAAAAAGACUGAGAGGUCUCAACUA
rnacentral:sRNA from 2 species